UUUUUGGGGGUACAGCCAGAGUUGGUUGUACCCGGGUAUAACAAUUAGGGGUUAAAGGAAUUAUAACAUUUUGGAUUUUUAUGUAAUAGCCCAAGCCCCAAUUCACCAUUCACUUUUUCACCCUAAAUAUAAAAGCUCUCUAUUACUCUAACCCUAACCAUUUUCAGAUUCUUUUACAGUUUUACCAGCCACCCUUUCUUUCUCUAAGAUAGCUCAUACACACUCUUUCUCUUUUAAUUUCCACCGCUUCUCCUAUUGGUCCCUAGUCUCCGCCGCCUUCUUCAACAGUUCAGCUCACCUCCUUAUCGUCUCACGUGACCACUUUAACCGUGAUUGUGAUUUUUGAAGGCUACUAAUCACGUCGAGCACUGUGAAAGAAAGAAACUUUACAGCAUUGUUCAAACUUACUAUUUGGUGACAAUAGAGAGGAAGCAAGAGUCGAGGAGUAUCAAGAAUAUUUUUUUUUUGACAUAAUCAAGAAUAAUAUGUAGCCAUCAUUCAACCAUUACCGUUAUCAUUGAUUCAUGAGAUAAAAGAAUAGCAAAACAACUUCAUUUUUUACUCCUUAUCUAAAUCAUAUCCAUGAAUUAUACUAUGUACCUCACCAAACCCCACAAAUUCUAAACAAUGAGGUCUAUUUCGUUUAGCACAUGAAGUGCAAAAUAUUUUAUGUACUCUAACCAACUAGUCACGUGUCUACCUUUUCAAUAAUGUAAAUACGAAGUAUUUAGUUUUAA